rnacentral:rRNA from 1 species
AGGGUUUGAUUCUGGCUCAGAACGUACGCUGGCGGCACGCCUUAUACAUGCAAGUCGAACGAAGUAGUAAUACUUAGUGGCAGACGGGUGAGUAACAUGUGGGUAUCUUCCCUUUGGUGAGGAAUAACACGAGGAAACUUGUGCUAAUACCUCAUAAGUCUUUACGGAGAAAGCUUUAUGCGCCAAUGGAUGAGCCCGCACUUGAUUAGUUUGUUGGUGGGGUAAUGGCCUACCAAGACUGUGAUCAAUAGCUGAUUUGAGAGGAUGAUCAGCCACAUUGGGACUGAGACACGGCCCAAACUCCUACGGGAGGCAGCAGUAAGGAAUCUUGCACAAUGGAGGAAACUCUGAUGCAGCGAUGCCGCGUGAGUGAAGAAGGCCUUUGGGUUGUAAAGCUCUUUCGUCGGGGAAGAAAAUGACUGUACCCGAAUAAGAAGGUCCGGCUAACUUCGUGCCAGCAGCCGCGGUAAUACGAAGGGACCUAGCGUAGUUCGGAAUUACUGGGCUUAAAGAGUUCGUAGGUGGUUAAAAAAGUUGGUAGUGAAAUCCCAGAGCUUAACUCUGGAACUGCUAUCAAAACUUUUUAGCUAGAGUAUGAUAGAGGAAAGCAGAAUUUCUAGUGUAGAGGUGAAAUUCGUAGAUAUUAGAAAGAAUACCAAUUGCGAAGGCAGCUUUCUGGAUCAUUACUGACGCUGAGGAACGAAAGCAUGGGUAGCGAAGAGGAUUAGAUACCCUCGUAGUCCAUGCUGUAAACGAUGUGUGUUAGACGUUGGAAAUUUAUUUUCAGUGUCGCAGCGAAAGCGAUAAACACACCGCCUGGGGAGUACGACCGCAAGGUUAAAACUCAAAUGAAUUGACGGGGACCCGCACAAGUAGUGGAGCAUGUGGUUUAAUUCGAAGAUACGCGCAGAACCUUACCAACACUUGACAUGUUCGUCGCGACUUUAAGAGAUUAAAGUUUUCGGUUCGGCCGGACGAAACACAGGUGCUGCAUGGCUGUCGUCAGCUCGUGUCGUGAGAUGUUGGGUUAAGUCCCGCAACGAGCGCAACCCUCACUUUUAGUUGCCACCAUUUAGUUGGGCACUCUGAAAGAACUGCCAGUGAUAAGCUGGAGGAAGGUGGGGAUGACGUCAAGUCCUCAUGGCCCUUACGUGUUGGGCUACACACGUGCUACAAUGGCAUUUACAAUAGGAUGCAAGAUGGCGACAUCAAGCAAAUCCUAAAAAGAUGCCUCAGUUCGGAUUGCACUCUGCAACUCGAGUGCAUGAAGCUGGAAUUACUAGUAAUCGCGGAUCAGCGCGCCGCGGUGAAUACGUUCCCGGGUCUUGUACACACCGCCCGUCACACCAUGGGAGUUGGUUCUACCUUAAGGCAAAGUUUAAAACCUUUGACCACGGUAUAGUCAGCGACUGGGGUGAAGUCGUAACAAGGUAGCC